rnacentral:rRNA from 1 species
GACAGAGGGUGCAAACGUUGUUCGGAAUUACUGGGCGUAAAGCGCGUGUAGGCGGCUAUGCAAGUCGGAAUGUGAAAGCCCUCGGCUCAACCGGGGAAGUGCACCCGAAACUGCAAGCUAGAGUCUCGGAGAGGAUCGUGGAAUUCUCGGUGUGAGAGGUGAAAGUUCGUAAGAUAUCGAGAGGAACACCGGUGGCGAAGGCGGCG